rnacentral:lncRNA from 1 species
AGUCAAGCAUCCCAUUUGAGACGCCCUGCCGCCUGACUCUAACUCUUCUCUACUCUGAGAAAUGUUGGUGUUAGAAAUGCCGCUUAAAGUCUCUGGGUUGUAUUAGUAAGCUAUCAUUUAUUAGGCACUCAUGAUUUUCCUGGCACUGUGCUCUGAUCAUUGUUAAUUUGGUUCUUACAACACCCAAUGUGGGGAGAGGACUCACAUCAAAGCAAGAACUAAGGAGGGAGAGCCAGGCCUAUCUCUUGGCAGCAGACUCUCAGCCUGACCUUCUCAAACUGGAGAACAGUCCUUCCAUCAGACUCUCCCACACUCAGAGCAGCAAGGGGCUUUCUUCCCAGAAUAUUCUCCAAAGACAGGAAGUGUGGCUUACAGCAUGUUGGAGGAGGCCAGCAAGGCCGGGAGGCGAGAACUGAGCCUGGCAGGGAAGCCCUGUGGGUUUGGACUGAGAGAGCAGCAGAACGGCUCAAGCCUACCUGGAAGAAAGCUUUAUUUCUGCACAAUGUUCUCAGCCUGAUUUUCGUGUGCAAGGAAAGCAGAAGGUACAAUCUGAAGAGUUAAUAACUAGUAAUUAUUAGUAGCUAAAAGGCUAGCCUAGGGGGUCAGUUAUGAGGGUACAGUGUCUGGAAUCGCACACACCUGGAUUGUAUUCUCUGUUGGCUCUCUUAUGAGCUGCGUUGCCUUUACCAUGUUAUUUACCCUCUCUGGGCCUCAUGCCCUCACCUGUGAGGUGGGAUAAUAAGAGUCAUUGUGAAGAUCCAUGUAAAGCAUGAAGCCCAGUGCCCAGAGCACGUAAGUGCUCAAUAGAUGUCUGCCAGUAUUAACCGUGAUUCUAAACAGACAAUAUUUUUGCAGCAUUGCUCCAAAGACUCAGUAAAUAUUCUCAGCUGAUUUCUGCGGCCUCUGUUGGCUGGUUUGGCAAUCAAUUUAGUGGUCUCUAAGUUGCUCUUCCCAAUUCUGGGAAAACUGCUUUCUGUCUGCCUUUAUAAGUGAUAUGUAGAAAUCUUUACUUUUCAAAAUAUUGUCACAACACUCAUACAUUGCCAGUGGGGGUGCACAAUAGUCCAGCCACUUUGGAAG